UAGGUAUUGAGUCUGCAGAACAGUCUGAAGCCUCUCUCUGUCGAUUCCUGACUCCUCUCCUUGUAAUCUCUACAGACGAUUCCCUAAGUAAUCCUCUUGCAUUCUUGGCACCGGCUUCGGCUUCGCAGAGCACCCAGACUGACACAGCAGGCACAGCAGGAAGGAUGAGCCGUCCUGACCCAUUUUGGGGUAAUAUCCAGGACGGCACAGACUGCAAUGGUUGGAGGCCAGGAGCUUCUGCAGGGCUACUGUCUCCAUACAGAAAUGAAGAAAUGCUGAGACAAUUUGACAUGCAGGAUGGAAAGGGGCUGGAAGUGGGACAGUAAGACUGAAGGUUUGGGAAGAAAAAUACAAGAUGAGAGCUGUCCAGAAAUGGAACAAGUUUUAUUGUGCAGUAGUGAACUCCCCAUUCAUCCAACUGUGCAAGCAAGAGACCUAGGAGCCUUCCUUUGCACUUUUCUCUCUGUCGUUCCCCCAAUAUUCUUCUAACGCAUACAUUUUUCUCCAUCUCUACCAAUGCCAGCCUCAUCCAGAUAAGGAACCUUAUGCAGACUUACAAGAAAGCCACGUAAACAAUGCAUAUUCUUCCACUUCUAAAUGGGCCACUGGAUCAAAGAGAAAGCAGACAGAAAAUUCACUUUCUGAUGAUUAGAGAUGCAAAUCAAAACCACAAUGAGAUACCACCUAACUCCAGUGAGAAUGGCUUUUA